GACGAACGCUGGCGGCGUGCUUAACACAUGCAAGUCGAACGGAAAGGCCCUGCUUUUGUGGGGUGCUCGAGUGGCGAACGGGUGAGUAACACGUGAGUAACCUGCCCUUGACUUUGGGAUAACUUCAGGAAACUGGGGCUAAUACCGGAUAGGAGCUCCUGCUGCAUGGUGGGGGUUGGAAAGUUUCGGCGGUUGGGGAUGGACUCGCGGCUUAUCAGCUUGUUGGUGGGGUAGUGGCUUACCAAGGCUUUGACGGGUAGCCGGCCUGAGAGGGUGACCGGCCACAUUGGGCCUGAGAGACGGCCCAGACUCCUACGGGAGGCAGCAGGGGGGAAUAUUGUACAAUGGGCGGAAGCCUGAUGCAGCAGCGCUGCGGGCGUGAUGACGGCCUUCGGGUUGUAAACCGAUUUCGCCUGUGACGAAGCGUGAGUGACGGUAAUGGGUAAAGAAGCACCGGCUAACUACGUG
rnacentral:rRNA from 1 species